rfam:Erinaceus europaeus unplaced genomic scaffold scaffold00195, whole genome shotgun sequence
UCAAGUGUUCACCCUGAACACGCCCAAUCUCAUCUUAUCUUGGAAGCUAAAAAGAGUCAGGCCUGGAUAGUACUUGGAUGGGAGAAGCUCAAGUGUCUCUUCAC